GCAAUUUUGGCUGCAGAGCCAAGAUGUGGGGUCCUGGAGAAGGAACCUGCAGCUUUAUCCCAGGAGGGGUUCCCAGCUCCCUGCUGAGACCGUUUAUUACCUGCUAGGAUCCAUUUAUUUACCUGCUAGGAUCCAUUUAUUUACCUGCUAGGAUCCAUUUAUUUACCUGCUGGGGUCCAUUUGUCCUCCUGCACCUGAGCACCACGAAGGUGACUUCCAGCCAGGCUGGAAGGACGAUGGAUCCAUGUUCAGUCAUCCCUUCCUAAUGGCAUUUGGGGAUUUCCCAUUUAAUCAGUAAUUAAUGUGCCUGGCAAUUAAUUCUGCAGGACUCUCGGUGCCCUGAGCAGCACAGGGUGGAUUCUGAGCAGCCCCUUUCUUACCUUGGGGGAGUUCUGAGCAGUGAUGAAAUUGCUGUGAUGAAUUGCAAGAGAUAUCAAUUUCUUUCCUGAUUCCUUCUUAUUAGUAUGAAUUUUUAAUUUUUUUUUUUUAAACCAGGACAUGUGCAUUUCACUUUUUGGAGGACAAGGACCAGGCUGGCAAAGAGGAAAGGAAAGAAAAAAACUCUUGGAUUAAAAAAGAGGAAAGGGAAAAUUGAGGAAAGUUGCUAUGAGUGGAUUUUGCCUUGCAUCUCCCAGCUGCGAGACUCCCACACCCUCGAGGCCUUCAAAAAGAGAAUUUUCCCCCUGAUUUCCCCCCUGAGCCCCUGAAGGGGUGCAAGGCGUGGCCUGUGCUGUCUGGGUGGGAUUGAGCAGCCGGUCCCUGCUCUGAGCUGGGCUGGGCUGGGCCUGGGCAGCUCCUCCAGAGCCAUCCGAGCUCCAUCUCCAGGAGCCUUCAGCAGCCAGUGGUGAGCAGGCCCUGAGGAAAGGGCUGUGGAAGAGGCACAGGUGCAGGAGAACACUGCAGAGCUGGGCUGCUUCAGCCAGGCUUUGCUAAAACCCUUCCCUGUCUCAGAGCCCCUUGACCUGAUCAGUUGUGUGCGUGCCUGGCAGCCCUGCACUUGCUGGGGAGAGGGGGGGAAAAUAGAGGAGGAAAAACAUUAAAAAUGCUUCACUUGAGCAGGAGAUUCAGCCCUGCCUUGGCUUUCUGCCAGCUUCAAACACAGCAGCAGAACCUCUUGUGUUUAGCCCCAGAGGAGUCCCUAAUUAGUGCAGGAACUGCAGAGCUCUGAACUUGUUUGGGAAUGCUUUAGUGCAGUGGCCCCCCGAGGUUCAUUAAACAAAUGAAUUCAAAGCAGUCAAAUAGCUGGGAUCUUCAAAGUGACAAGGACCUCAGUCCCUGCACCCACGGCAGGCUGGCACUGCAAAUAAAAUCGUUCCUGCAGUGGUGGAACUGCUCACACUGACGUGCACAGAGAGAGCAGGGGAGGGAGGACACGGACAGCAGAGCCUGCCCGGGGCAGGGGCAGCAGCAGCUCCAGCCCUGCUGCACCCUCUGGGGCCCUGGGGACACAGGAGCUGCCAGGUCAGUGCAGGGAGGGGGGACAGGGGACCUGCCAGGGGUGCUAGUGCAGCUGGAUGGGACAGGGCUGAGGGGAGCAGGAGAAGGAGAGAGGUGUGGGGAGCAGAAGGACAGAGGUGUGGGGAGCAGGAGAUCUCCACAAGAAGGAGAGAGGUGUGGGGAGCAGGAACCACCAGGAGAAGGAGAGAGGUGUGGGGAGCAGGAGAAGGACAGAAGUGUGGGGAGCAGGAGCCACCAGGAGAAGGACAGAGGUGUGGGGAGCAGGAGAAGGACAGAGGUGUGGGGAGCAGGUGUUCCUCAGAAGGACAGAGGUGUGGGGAGCAGGGGUUCCUCAGAAGGACAGAGGUGUGGGGAGCAGGGGUUCCUCAGAAGGACAGAGGUGUGGGGAGCAGGAAAUCGCUGCCUUCUCCUGCCCAGCCAUUCCUGGGCACUGCCCCAUGCAGGGGUGCCCACCCUGGGUGCAGCUCCAGGGGCACAGAGCUGGCUCUGCCCUGGAAUUCUGGCUGGGGAUUUUUUGCCAGGAUUGACUGAAUUGCCCAUCCUUGGCAGUGCCCAGAGCAGGCACCGAUGCCAGGGCUUUUGAAAGAUUUAUUUCAGCACUUUCUGCUGCAGGAGGGGCUGCUGGGGCUGCCAGGGAGGGCUGGGGUCCAGCCCUGGGGAGUUCUCCCUGGGUUUUCAGCUGUGCUGGUGGCAGAGCUCUUUGCCACGUUUAGGGAAGGAGAAGAGCACGUGCAGAGAGCUCCUGACACCCUUUGCAGGGAGACCAGCCACAAAUCUGCCUGUGCUGGGUUUGCUCGAGUUAAUAAAUUCUGCUGGAGAAUAAAUAGAUCCUAAAUUACACCCUGGCCUGGCCAGAACUUUUAUCUUGCCUGUCAGGACUGUGUAAUAUUAAUUAUAGCCUGCUCCAGCUGCCCUCAGGGAGAGCUGGCACAUGGCUGCAGCACUCAGCUGUGACUCUUAUUUGAUUUUUUUUUUUUUCAUUUAAUCAAUGCCCAAUAAAUCUGUAAUCUCCUGAAUCUGGACAUCUGUGCUUAAUGUAUCCGGGGAGUGACCUAAUUAAAUUCCAGUUUAGAGCAUCUCAGGCUGGGGCUGGACCCUUGGAUUCCUGCUCUGCUGGGGGAAUAUCCCCUGUUGUGUUUGUGGAAGGAUGAGUCUGACUCCAUGUUCUCAGAAGGCUGAUUUAUUAUUUUAUGAUCUAUAUUAUAUUAAAGAAUAUUAAACUGAACUACACUAAAGAAUACAGAAAGGAUGCUCACAGAAGGCUAAAAAAAAAAUAAUGAAAACUUGUGACUCUUUCCAGAGUCCUGAUACAGCCUGGCCCUGAUUGGCCAAAGAGUCAAAACAACUCCCAGCAGAAUGCAAUGAAACAAUCAUCUGUGGGUGAACAAUCUCCAAACACAUCCCAAAGCAGCAAAACACAGGAGAAACAAAUGAAAUAAAAUUAUUUUCCUUUUUCUCUGAGGCUUCUCAGCUUCCCAGGAGAAGAAUCCUGGGCCAAGGGAUUAUUCAGAACAUGUGAAUGUGACAAUCCCCAGAGGGGGAAACAUCCCUGGUGAGGUGUGUGAAGGCCAGGGGCCACCAAAAAGGGACCCCCUAAAAGUGACCACGGCACAAACUCCAUCACCAGCUCCAGGAAAUGCUGCUUAAACCCAGCUUAAAACAGGGCAGGGAUAGGCAGGGCUUAGAAUUCCUGGGCUGGGUCCUCCAGCCUGGAUGUGGCAAGGAAUUGUUGGUUUGCUUGGGUUUGGAUUGAAGGCACUAGAGAAGGUAGUUUCAUGUUUGGAUUUAGGUGUUUGUUAUUUCUUAUAAGUAAAACAUUUUCCCUUUUACCCAGGGCACCAGUUUUUGGUUUGCUUGGGUUUGGACUGAAGGCAAUAGGGAUGAUAAUUUUAUCUUUGGAUUUAGGUGUUUAUUAUUUCUUAUCAGUAAAACAUUUUCUCUUUUACAUGGGGCACCAGUUUUUGGUUUGCUUGGGUUUGGAUUGAAGGCAAUAGGGAUGAUAAUUUUAUCUUUGGAUUUAGGUGUUUAUUAUUUCCUAUCAGUAAAAGAGUUUCUCUUUUACACGGGGCACCAGUUUUUGGUUUCUUUGGGUUUGGAUUGAAGGCCCUUGAGAUUAUAAUUUCAUUUUUGGAUUUAGGAGUUUAUGAUUUCUUAUCAGUAAAGCAGUUUCAGGACUGUGAGCUCGGCAGGGAGGUGUAAAACGAUUGCCAAUCUUUUGUUACAAGGCCUUUUAGGACUAAACAGUGGAAUUAAGAACUGACACUUGGAGGUGUGUGCAGUGCUCAGCAGGAGCUGGGGCUCCCCUGCUGCACAGGAGCAGCACAAACUCCUUUUUCAGGCAGCCUUUGCAGGAGUGGGGCCUAGAAACCUCACCGAGCCAAUGUUUUGUGGUUUCUUAGCCCCAGAGCAGAGAUAAAUCCCAGUAUGAGCAUUUUGAGUUCUGACUUUUCUGGGUUCCUGUGUUCUUCCUCGUGGAGGGAGAGCUUUCACUGCACUCCCAUGCCAGGAACUGUUUUCUUGCCAAGAAAACCAUGGUGUUUGUAAAUUGGCUCUUGUUUUUGCCUGUGCCUCAAAAACACUCAUGAAUUUUGCAGUAACAUCUUGAAACCUUUCCUGUCUUGUUAUAUCAAAAGCAUUUUCCAUGCAGUGUUUAAGCCCAGCCAUUCCUGGGACCAUUAGCACUGAAAAGCCAGCAGGUAUUGGAUCAUUUGGAAGUCUUGGAGAACUUCCUCCUGACAAGAAUCCUCUGCAGGCUCCCCUAGGCUUGGGAUUUUUCCUUUGCCAAAUUCCUCUUUAAAACUAUUUUCAGCAGCAUUUUACAUCCUGUCUGUUCUGGUUUUGGGUAAAAUCUCCUCCAAGAAGUCUUUUUUUACUAUUUUUUUUUCUAAUUAGUGCCCAAAUCUGACCUGGGAGGUGAAAUCCUGCAGCACCCAACCCAACCCUUCCCUCCUGAAUUUAUUGCUGGGGACUGAUUUGCUUGGGGAAGGUGGCUCUGGGAUCUGUGAGAGCCUGGAUCACCCCCGUGGAGGCCUGGGGGGGUUCUGUGUCCUGGGAGGCUUCACUCAUCACUCAGGGUAUCCAGCUGUGGCUCUCCCUAGAGAACAGGCAAACAGAAAUGAAACCACAGAACCAAAAUGAGAGAGGCACCUCCAAACCUGAGAGGUAAAAAGCACUUUAUUGCAGCCCUGUAAAGCUAUUUUUGAUGGAGUUUUCAGAGCUGCCUGUCCUUACAUCAGCCAGGAAGGGGCUGAUGCCAAGACUGAGCUGUGCUUUGGGGAGGUUUUGCUGUCACUGUCCCAAACUCCAUCUCCACACCUCUUUUCCCCCAUCAAUAUCUGAGAUGUCCUUUUUUCACGUGCUCUGGUGGGGUCAGUCAUCCUUAAUUUAAAGGCUGUGAGUUUGGUUAUGCACAUUUCUUGUGCAAUUAAAGCCACCAAGUGCAGCAGGAUCUGCAUUAAAAACAUCCUGCCCAUUAAAGCUGCCUGAAAUUUCCUCCGUGAUCCACAGCUCUCAUCCUCCCAGACCCGUUAAAAAAGAGAGCAUUUUCUGUCUGGGAGCCCCAGAAAUGAUCAGCAGAAGGAAAUUGUUGCUCUUAAGAGCCUUAUUGCUUAUUAAUGGAGGUAAUUAAAUGGCUCUAGGCUGGGGCUGAGAGUGCAGGCACAUGUUCCUGGCCUGAGAGCUGCACUCAAAUUAACAAAAGAAUUGAUGGAGACAGUGGCUGAUGGCUGGGAAUUGCUCUUGAGACUGCAAUGAACACUGUUGCCUCCUUCAAGCUUCCUCUCCCUGAAAUAAAGCUAAAAAUAGCCGAGGCUGACAGCGGUGGCAGAGCAGCUGCUGUGCAGCAGCAUCAGAUGUCACAGCACGCCCAGGAUGGACGAGGGCUGGGGAUGCAGGCUGCUCCUGCUGCUGGGAGCCAGAGGGAAGAGCUGGAGCAGGCAGGAGGGGAAUGCCCUGAGCCCCGUGCUGGCUCGGGGGGCUUUGGGCUGGCAGCCAGCCCCACACAGCCCCUGCUGAGCCCCCUGCUCCUGGGGAGCCCCGAGGAGUGGGGACAGGGCAGAGUCUGCAGCGUGCAAAUGCCGAGAGCUGGGAGCACAAAUGGCAGAGGGCCCCGUCUGAUCCGAGUCUGCUGGGGCUCACCUUGUGCUGGGGCAAAGCCCUGGUGUCUGCAGCCCUGGGCUGUCCCCCUCUGGCAGUAAAGGUGGGUCAGUAAAGCUAAACUGGCCCAAACCCUGAAUUCUCCACUGCCUGACCCUCUGUGCUGGUGUUCUGUCAUUUAACUCUUGCACAUGCACUGGCAUUUAACCCUUACACAUUUAUUGUCAUUUCACUCUUAGCCAGGUGUUGUUAAAUUUAAUUUACCCAUGUAUUGCUAUUUAACUCUUACCCAGGUAUUGUUAUUUAAUUUACCCAUGUAUUGUUAUUUAACUCUUACACACCCAUUGUUAUUUACCUCUUACCCAUGUAUUGUUUUUUAAUUUACCAUGUAUUGCUAUUUAACUCUUACACACCCAUUGUUAUUUAAUUUACCCAUGUAUUGCUAUUUAACUCUUACCCAGGUAUUGUUAUUUAAUUUACCCAGGUAUUGUUAUUUAAUUCUCACACGUGCAUUGUUAUCUAACUCUUACCUAUGCAUUGUUAUUUAAUUUACCCAUGUAUUAUUUAAUUUACCCAUGCAUGGUUACUUAAUUCUCACACGUGUAUUGUUAUUUAACUCUUACCUAUGCAUUGUUAUUUAAUUUACCCAGGCAUUGUUAUUUAAUUUACCCAUGCAUUGUUAUUUAAUUUACCCAUGCAUUGUUACUUAAUUCUCACACGUGUAUUGUUAUUUUUCUCUUACCCAUGCAUUGUUAUUUAAUUUACCAGUGUAUUGUUAUUUUUCUCUUACCCAUGCAUUGUUAUUUAACUCUCACACUGUAUUUCAUUUACCCAGGCAUUGUUAUUUAACUCUUGCACAAUCCCAGGGGGAGAGGUUACAUUUGAGGUUUAACCUGCCAAACAGCACGGGUGAAUGGAGCUGCUGUGUUUUCUUUACCUUGUGCUAAUCCCAUCAGAAGUUGCAAAGGUCCUGGGGGGAGAAAAGCAGAGCCAAGUGACCACUUUGGGUUUGUGAGCAGCAUCAGCUCUGCUCUGCUGGGCAGGACCCCCUGCUCAGGGUGAGCUGGGCACGAGCAGCACCGUGCUUGGUGACCCCGUUAAACAGAAUAGUUUGGAGUUCUGCUCUUAAGUGGAACAUAAAUUUUGGGUUCUGCAUAAAACAGGCUCCAGGUUUUGCUGCAGUUCAGUAGCUCAGUGCCUCCAUUUGCUGCCUAAUGAAGGUCCCAGGAUGAGAAACCAAAGCUCUGAGCUGGCACUGCCUCACCUGGUGGGGUUUGUGCCCACGAGACACAAAGGGGAGUGAACAAAACCCCUGGAGGAUGAGCAGGAGUCUGGAAAGGCAGGACACGGAGUAUUUAAGGAGUGUUUAAAGAGUGUUUAAAGAGUGUUUAAAGAGUGUUUAAAGAGGGUGAACCCUGUAAGAGCCUGUGAAGGGAAGAGGAGCUGCUGUUGAUAAAAGGAGAGGAUCAGCCAAGUGCUCCAGUGAUCUCCAGCACAGGGAUGGAGCAGCAAUUCCUCUUACCCCAACGACCUCAUUAAUCAGCUCUCAUUCUGUGAUGUUGCCUGGUGGUGGAAGCUGUCUCUGGAUAUUCUUUAUUGCUCUGCUGCUCCCCACUAAUCAGUGGAAAUGAACCACCAGAAACUU